CCACGUUCAGCCGUGCCGGUUAGAUGUGCGUAGUUACAUUUAGAUAUUUUUGGACAAUUUUCGGUGUUUUUUACACCGUCAACCUCAUCUUAUUUAUUAGUUUUAACGAAUAUACAACUCUGUGGCUUGGUGUCAGGUACCCAAACUACGGUUUAAGAUCUAUCGUUACAAGUACGUAGAACGGCGUGUGGACUUGCGUUGUAAGUCCAUUCAGCCAAGGACACCAAACAAACUAAAUAUCCAUAAACGUAUAAGUACAUAAAUAUCUUAGAAUCAAGUGUACAACAAGGACCUAAUCCGCCUUAACAUGUUUUAUUUAUGGUGUUUGAACACACCUUAUCAAAGACUUGCCAGUGCCUAAACCCUUCGAGGGCCAGCGCCAUAUUAGCAAAGAAGAAGAAGACAAUGCGUGACAAUAGGUUACAAUGCGUCUUAAUGCAUUUCUUUAAAAUAUAAUAUCAACUGCUACAUGUACAAAGGCAAUAGAAGAUAUAAUUUCCAAAUUGUUACGUACAAAUGUCCUCGCAAAAAUUUUGUCCUCGUAGGUAUGGGGCCUGUGCUUUAUGUAGUUGACACACAGUCUUAUCAAUUGAGAAGUAAAUUAGAUUGUUUAUAUCCAAGCAAUAUUCAUGGUAUAGUAGUAGGAUAAUAAAUUAGUAGUGUUUGGUACUAAAUCUAUAUGUAUCUGUGAUAUUGUCAAAGAAACAAAGAAAAUAAUAUUUAGAAAACAAAGUAAUCAUCAAUUUAAUAAUUGGAUAAUUGCUAUAGAAUGGGUAGUAAUCAAAGAACAAAUACAAGUAGCA